GGACGAACGCUGGCGGCAUGCCUAACGACAUGCAAGUCGAACGGGGGUAGCAAUACCCUAGUGGCGAACGGGUGAGUAACACAUAAGCAAUCUGCCCUUCGACAGGGGGAUAACAGCGGGAAACUGCUGCUAAUACCGCAUAAGACCACAGUACCGCAUGGUACAGGGGUAAAAACGAAUCAGUGGUGAAGGAUGAGCUUAUGUCCCAUUAGCUAGUUGGUGAGAUAACAGCCCACCAAGGCGACGAUGGGUAGCCGACCUGAGAGGGUGAUCGGCCACACUGGAACUGAGACACGGUCCAGACUCCUACGGGAGGCAGCAGUGGGGAAUAUUGGGCAAUGGAGGAAACUUCCUUACCCAGCAAUGCCGCGUGAGUGAAGAAGGUCUUCGGAUUGUAAAGCUCUUUGAUUGGGGACGAAGAAAGUGACGGUAUCCAAAGAACAAGCCCCGGCUAACUACGUGCCAGCCGCUGC
rnacentral:rRNA from 1 species